rnacentral:rRNA from 1 species
GACGAACGCUGGCGGCGUGCCUAAUACAUGCCAGUAGAACGCUGAAGGAGGAGCUUGCUUCUCUGGAUGAGUUGCGAACGGGUGAGUAACGCGUAGGUAACCUGCCUGGUAGCGGGGGAUAACUAUUGGAAACGAUAGCUAAUACCGCAUAAGAGUAGAUGUUGCAUGACAUUUGCUUAAAAGGUGCAAUUGCAUCACUACCAGAUGGACCUGCGUUGUAUUAGCUAGUUGGUGGGGUAACGGCUCACCAAGGCGACGAUACAUAGCCGACCUGAGAGGGUGAUCGGCCACACUGGGACUGAGACACGGCCCAGACUCCUACGGGAGGCAGCAGUAGGGAAUCUUCGGCAAUGGACGGAAGUCUGACCGAGCAACGCCGCGUGAGUGAAGAAGGUUUUCGGAUCGUAAAGCUCUGUUGUAAGAGAAGAACGAGUGAGAGAGUGGAAAGUUCACACUGUGACGGUAUCUUACCAGAAAGGGACGGCUAACUACGUG